rnacentral:sRNA from 1 species
GACAGAGUGAGGGAGGGGGUGACACAGUGACAGAGUGAGGGAGGGGGUGACUAGUGACAGAGUGAAGGAGGUGGUGACUAUCACUAGUCACCCCCUCCCUCUCUCUGUCACUAGUGACACCCUAGUCCUACCCCUCCCUCUCUCUGUCACUAGUCACCCCUCCCUCUCUCUGUCACUAGUCACCCCUCCCUCUCUGUC